GCCUUGCAACAGAAGAUGGAAGCUUUCGCGAGCACAGAAAUAUGACCUCAUUCUGUAUAUUUAGCCGAGCUUUUUUAUGGCCAAGCAGCAGAUUCGGUCCAGAAAACAAAUGCUUCUUCCAGCCACAGCGUAGCUGCAGCGCCACUGUGUGGCGAAAAGUGGCAAUGCAAGUCGCGUCUCCCCACAUACCGGUUCAAACUGAAUUCAUUUGGUAUGGAAAGACGAAAUUUAAGAAAAGCGUUUUCAGUUCGAAAAGUUACCAGCAAGAAUCAAUAAAAGAGGAGCAAGUGGAAGAAGCAGCGAUAUUGUAAUGAUUUGCAUUACAAUUACACCUAAACACUGGAUUUCCAGCAUUUGCAGGUUUUUGGUGCAUUGGGCAGAGUGGUAGAGAGCUGAAGUUCAACGCAAAGCAGCACAAAGGAGCUCCACACCUACCACAAAGCUUUGUGCAGUCUUCCACCCUGGAAGUGCUGACUCAUUUCAGUUGAACACUUCUGGAGAAGGUGGCAGCCCCCACCCGAACAAGACUUAAUGCACAACCUGUACAAAUCAGAAAAAUCUGAUAACCUGUCUCUAAUACGUCUCUCCUCAUACACGUAUCUCCACCACAAUUUUUCUACUUGAUAGCAAGAUACAAUGCCUUAAAGUUUUUUGUUUUAGGUUUUAUUGCUUGUGAUGGCAACUUCCACAACAUUUCAGCUCUGGACACGACCAGCAAAAUUGUACAUGCUUUGCCACAUGAUAAAUAAAAUAAAUCAAACCGAUUCUGAACAAAGCCAGUUGGUAAUAAAUUGUAGAUAAUUGAAAUAAAGCAGCUAAAAAUAGAUGAUUGUAUGUGAUCCGGAAGA